rnacentral:rRNA from 1 species
UACGUAGGGCAGCGAGCGUUGUUCGGAAUUACUGGGCGUAAAGAGUGUGUAGGCGGUGCUCCCAGUCUGUUGGUGAAAUCUCCCGGCUCAACUGGGAGGGUGCGCCGAAAACUGGAAUGCUUGAACGUGGGAGAGGAAAGCGGAAUUCCUGGUGUAGCGGUGAAAUGCGUAGAUAUCAGGAGGAACACCUGCGGUGUAGACGGCUUUCUGGACCAUUGUUGACGCUGAGACACGAAAGCGUGGGUAGCAAACAGG